rnacentral:rRNA from 1 species
CCCGCGGCAAGACGGAAAGACCCCGUGAACCUUUACUAUAGCUUGACACUGAACAUUGAGCCUUGAUGUGUAGGAUAGGUGGGAGGCUUUGAAGUGUGGACGCCAGUCUGCAUGGAGCCGACCUUGAAAUACCACCCUUUAAUGUUUGAUGUUCUAACGUUGACCCGUAAUCCGGGUUGCGGACAGUGUCUGGUGGGUAGUUUGACUGGGGCGGUCUCCUCCUAAAGAGUAACGGAGGAGCACGAAGGUUGGCUAAUCCUGGUCGGACAUCAGGAGGUUAGUGCAAUGGCAUAAGCCAGCUUGACUGCGAGCGUGACGGCGCGAGCAGGUGCGAAAGCAGGUCAUAGUGAUCCGGUGGUUCUGAAUGGAAGGGCCAUCGCUCAACGGAUAAAAGGUACUCCGGGGAUAACAGGCUGAUACCGCCCAAGAGUUCAUAUCGACGGCGGUGUUUGGCACCUCGAUGUCGGCUCAUCACAUCCUGGGGCUGAAGUAGGUCCCAAGGGUAUGGCUGUUCGCCAUUUAAAGUGGUACGCGAGCUGGGUUUAGAACGUCGUGAGACAGUUCGGUCCCUAUCUGCCGUGGGCGCUGGAGAACUGAGGGGGGCUGCUCCUAGUACGAGAGGACCGGAGUGGACGCAUCACUGGUGUUCGGGUUGUCAUGCCAAUGGCACUGCCCGGUAGCUAAAUGCGGAAGAGAUAAGUGCUGAAAGCAUCUAAGCACGAAACUUGCCCCGAGAUGAGUUCUCCCUGACUCCUUGAGAGUCC